rnacentral:rRNA from 1 species
AACGAACGCUGGCGGCAUGCCUAAUACAUGCAAGUCGAACGAGAUCUUCGGAUCUAGUGGCGCACGGGUGCGUAACGCGUGGGAAUCUGCCCUUGGGUUCGGAAUAACUUCUGGAAACGGAAGCUAAUACCGGAUGAUGACGUAAGUCCAAAGAUUUAUCGCCCAAGGAUGAGCCCGCGUAGGAUUAGCUAGUUGGUGGGGUAAAGGCCCACCAAGGCGACGAUCCUUAGCUGGUCUGAGAGGAUGAUCAGCCACACUGGGACUGAGGCACGGCCCAGACUCCUACGGGAGGCAGCAGUAGGGAAUAUUGGACAAUGGGCGAAAGCCUGAUCCAGCAAUGCCGCGUGAGUGAUGAAGGCCUUAGGGUUGUAAAGCUCUUUUACCCGGGAUGAUAAUGACAGUACCGGGAGAAUAAGCUCCGGCUAACUCCGUG